UACGUAGGGGGCAAGCGUUGUCCGGAUUUAUUGGGCGUAAAGCGCUCGCAGGCGGCUCGAUGCGUCGUGCGUGAAAUCCCCCGGCUUAACCAGGGAACUGCGUCUGAUACUGGAUGGCUUGAGUUUGGGAGAGGGAUGCGGAAUUCCAGGUGUAGCGGUGAAAUGCGUAGAUAUCUGGAGGAACACCGGUGGCGAAGGCGACAUCCUGGACCAACACUGACGCUGAGUGAGCGAAAGCCAGGGGAGCAAACGGG
rnacentral:rRNA from 1 species